rnacentral:rRNA from 1 species
GACAGAGGUGCCGAGCGUUAGGCGGAAUCACUGGGCUUAAAGCGCGUGUAGGCGGGUCGGCGCGUCGGCCGCUGAAAUCCCCCGGCUCAACCGGGGAAGCGGCGCCGAUACGGCCGGCCUGGAGGGACGUAGGGGGGGCUGGAACUUCCGGUGGAGCGGUGAAAUGCGUUGAGAUCGGAAGGAACGCCCGUGGCGAAAGCGAGCCCCUGGACGUCUACUGACGCUGAGACGCGAAAGCCAGGGGAGCGAACGGG